rnacentral:rRNA from 1 species
GACGUAGGGCGCGAGCGUUGUCCGGAUUUAUUGGGCGUAAAGAGCUCGUAGGCGGCUCAUUGCGUCAACCGUGAAAACCAGCAGCUCAACUGUUGGCUUGCGGUUGAUACGGGUGGGCUGGAGUUCGGUAGGGGAGACUGGAAUUCCUGGUGUAGCGGUGAAAUGCGCAGAUAUCAGGAGGAACACCGGUGGCGAAGGCGGGUCUCUGGGCCGAUACUGACGCUGAGACGCGAAAGCGUGGGGAGCGAACAGG